rnacentral:rRNA from 1 species
GACGAACGCUGGCGGCGUGCUUAACACAUGCAAGUCGAACGGUAAGGCCCCUUCGGGGGUCCACGAGUGGCGAACGGGUGAGUAACACGUGAGCAACCUGCCCUUGACUCUGGAAUAACAGUUGGAAACAGCUGCUAAUACUGGAUAUUCAUCGUCUCCUUCCUGGGGGGUGGUGGAAAGCUCCGGCGGUCAGGGAUGGGCUCGCGGCCUAUCAGCUUGUUGGUGAGGUAAUGGCUCACCAAGGCUUCGACGGGUAGCCGGCCUGAGAGGGCGACCGGCCACACUGGGGCUGAGAUACGGCCCAGACUCCUACGGGAGGCAGCAGUGGGGAAUAUUGCACAAUGGGCGCAAGCCUGAUGCAGCAACGCCGCGUGCGGGAUGACGGCCUUCGGGUUGUAAACCGCUUUCAGUAGGGACGAAGGGUGACUGACGGUACCUACAGAAGAAGGACCGGCUAACUACGUG